CACUGAGAAGCCUCGCGUUGAAACAAAAUACAGUGUAAUACAGUGAUGGUGUUCGACAUGCGCCCAAGGAUGACCGCGCUACGCAAUAAUUGAAACGGCGGUGCAGCAGGGGAGAGUUUGUUGCUUGUCGUGUGCGUACGGGCGAGCGCGGCACAUUAGAAGUGUGGUAGGUGAAUCGUUCAAGUGAUGUGCACUAUUUUUGUUAGCUUUGGGGAUCUCUAGUGGAGUGGUGAGUGACUAAAGAAGUAUUUGUUUUUUGUUCAGCCAGCCACUGUUGUUGUCUAUUUAUUUUGUGUUGAAUCAAUCUCACAAUUUGUCCUAUUAAUGCUGUACAAAUUUAUUUUAACUUGAUGUGCAGUCGGGAAUAAAGCCCACAUAAAAAAAUAAAAUUACUUGUGUUGGUCCAAUCAAUUCACCCGGCCACACAAUUUUGGUGUCAGAAGUGGGAUUCCCUCUAAAUUCUGAGAUUGUAGUUAACUAGACAACAACAGUGGCGAGAAGUUGGCCAAUCCUGAGACCAGAAAGCUCGACGACAAGGACGUGACGUCUUGGUGUGCAACCUGCGGUUGGCGUUGCUGAAGGAGACGUGUUGUCGGGAGGCUGCUGGACGGAGGAGCAUUGACUUUUUGUGACUGUUGCAUAUCACUGCAUUAAAUAAACUAAAAAAAAUAACGCAGGAUGUCAGUGGACGACCUGCCAGCUCAGUCUGCAAUGGAAGGAGUCAUCCAUCAAGACGACACCAGUUCUACAUAUUCUGAUGAUGGAGGUAAUCCGGUGGCAGAAUUACAGGCACAAAUUCAAGAUUUAAGUAAAAAACAUGAUACCGUAUUGUCAAGCAUUGCUAGUUUGGGUAAUGCUUCUGCAAGGUCAAUUGUGUAUAUUCCCCGGGAAAAACACAUUGUACCAUUUUGUGGUGAAAUUGGGAAAGAUGUUAACACUGUUGAUGAGUUCAUUGAGGAAGUUGAGCGGGCAAUGAGAAACCGAGGUCUUCAAGGAGAGGAACAAGUAGACUUUAUUCUUUCAUUGUUAAAGGGCUCAGCGUUAGAGGAAGUCAAAUUUUGUAUGAGAGAACAACCACAACAACCUAGUGAUUUGUUCUUAUACUUGAGAGAAGCGUUUAGGGAAAAACGCACAACACCACAACUCCUUCAUGCGUUCUAUGCUCGUAGACAACUUGAUGGGGAAGACUUGCGUGAUUUCUCUCAUGCCCUCUCACAACUGCUCAAUUCAGCUCUUCAAC